ACCAGCCACGGAGAGAGAGACGCCCGACGCGGGCCAUGCAUUCGCCGCGCCGACCUGCCGCAGCCGCAGCGCCUCGGCUGCGCGUUGGGGCCACUGGGGUCCCCCAAACCCAUCUCGAUGCGCGCGCCGACUUGCCACACCACCUUGCCUGCGCAUGGAUCCCCGCGCACCGCCGCCCCUCUGACCCCGUCGUUCGCUCCGCCCCACCGCCGGUGGGGGAUCCGAUUGGCGGCGUCCCAGUGGAGGAUUGGUCUGCUCCGUCGCCGCCAUCCCCAUCCUGCUCCAUCCCGAUCGUCGUCCACCGAGGUCCACGCCCCCUUCCCCCUCCUGCUCCAUCCUAGUCGCCACCGGCUUCGGCAUUGGUGGAUCCCGGCGUAGAGGCGGGGGAUCCAACCGGUGGCGGAUCUGGCCAGCAACGUGGAGGAGGAGGCGCGCGGGCCGCGGAUCCAGCCGUUAGUGGCGGCAUCUGGUGGACCUGUGCUGGAUUUCUAUUUAGUCCCUGGAGGCAGUGAGUUCUUGCGGCGGCGGCGAGGCGGAGGCACGGGGCGGCGGCCUGGAGGCAGAGGUGCCGGACGGUGGGUUUGGGUUGACACCUAUCCAGCACCACCACGCAUCUGUGGAGUGGAACCUACAGACGUACUUGCCUCGACCUAUCAUCAUCAAGGUCCUUCACGGCAGCAACCUCCUGCUGCAGCUUACGUCUCCAGUCGUGCUAGCCAAGGUUAUCUUCCUCAAUUCAUCUAAUCAGGCCUAAACCACCUUUAUCACAUUUGCUCAUCACGAGUUCAGUGCCAAUUCUGGGUACAGGUCUGUCAAGCAUAUGUGAUAGAGAGCAUGCUGCAUGCAGCGAUUCCCAAUGAGGCAUCUCCAGCGAUUCCCAAUGAGCCAUCUCUGUGGGUGAUGAAUACAUUGAAUAGCAAAAGGAUAGAUGAUAACCUACAUCUAUUUCAUCACUGAGAUGAAUACAUUGAAUAGCAAAAGGAAAGCUGCUUCGCUUCGGUCUCAAGAGCGGGUUCGUCGUGCUGCUCCCGCUGGUUCGGUCGCCGUUGUCUGACUGCUCCUCCUGUCUGGAUUUGGUGGUCUGCUUGUGGGACGCCUUGCCCGUGCCGAACUUCUGCUGCAGGUUAUAAGGUGGCAGGACCUACAAGGCCUACAACACUAUUUUGUGAGGGUGUUGCAUAAUGAAGCACCACUCAGAACAAUGAUCCGAAACAUGGUUCGGAGAACAGCUCUGCAGCAACUUCACACACAAAGACUUAGAAACCAGCUUCCAGAUCUUUUUGGUUGUUUAUUUUGGCAACAAAACCUGAAUCAUAACGCUGCAGCAAACUGCCUGUGUUACACAAUUUCUCAACUGAGGAUACCGCUGCAGAAAAACAUUAGCUUUGUGUGUGUUUAGUUGACCAAAAUUGGUAUUGCACCUGCAAUUCACAAUAUGUCUGUUCUGUGGUACCACAUCUGGCCUCAUCAUAGCAGCUAUGCUUAUUGGAUGUGGCUAGGAACUUCUGAAUGAAAAUGUAUUGUAGUCACCGAACUGCAUGGUGCAUAUGAUCCUGUAAACUAAACCCGAAUCAUAUAUGCACAGGUAUUCCUUUUGAAAUAUAAUGAUCAUCUCUGCUGUUGUUUA